rnacentral:rRNA from 3 species
UGGCGUGAAUUGUUGCCUUGUACACACCGCUCGUCACGAU